CAAGUACUCCCUCCGUCCGAAAAUACUUGUCGGAGAAAUGCAUAAAAAUGAAUGUAUCUAGAACUAAAAUACGUCUAGAUACAUCCAUUUCUCUGACAAGUAUUUUCCGACGGAGGGAGUAGUAG
rfam:Triticum aestivum genome assembly, contig: Triticum_aestivum_CS42_TGACv1_scaffold_130765_2BL